UGCUCCAUAUGAGGUUAGCGGCGGACGGCCGAUUAACACGUGGGUAACCUGCCCAUAAGACUGGGAUAACUCCGGGAAACCGGGGCUAAUACCGGAUAACAUUUUGAACCGCAUGGUUCGAAAUUGAAAGGCGGCUUCGGCUGUCACUUAUGGAUGGACCCGCGUCGCAUUAGCUAGUUGGUGAGGUAACGGCUCACCAAGGCAACGAUGCGUAGCCGACCUGAGAGGGUGAUCGGCCACACUGGGACUGAGACACGGCCCAGACUCCUACGGGAGGCAGCAGUAGGGAAUCUUCCGCAAUGGACGAAAGUCUGACGGAGCAACGCCGCGUGAGUGAUGAAGGCUUUCGGGUCGUAAAACUCUGUUGUUAGGGAAGAACAAGUGCUAGUUGAAUAAGCUGGCACCUUGACGGUACCUAACCAGAAAGCCACGGCUAACUACGUGCCAGCAGCCGCGGUAAUACGUAGGUGGCAAGCGUUAUCCGGAAUUAUUGGGCGUAAAGCGCGCGCAGGUGGUUUCUUAAGUCUGAUGUGAAAGCCCACGGCUCAACCGUGGAGGGUCAUUGAAAACUGGGAGACUUGAGUGCAGAAGAGGAAAGUGGAAUUCCAUGUGUAGCGGUGAAAUGCGUAGAGAUAUGGAGGAACACCAUUGGCCGAGGGCGACUUUUCUGGUCUGUACCUGACACUGAGGCACGAA
rnacentral:rRNA from 2 species